rnacentral:rRNA from 1 species
GCGCUAUCAGAUGAGCCUAGGUCGGAUUAGCUAGUUGGUGAGGUAAUGGCUCACCAAGGCGACGAUCCGUAACUGGUCUGAGAGGAUGAUCAGUCACACUGGAACUGAGACACGGUCCAGACUCCUACGGGAGGCAGCAGUGGGGAAUAUUGGACAAUGGGCGAAAGCCUGAUCCAGCCAUGCCGCGUGUGUGAAGAAGGUCUUCGGAUUGUAAAGCACUUUAAGUUGGGAGGAAGGGCAGUUACCUAAUACGUAAUUGUUUUGACGUUACCGACAGAAUAAGCACCGGCUAACUCUGUGCCAGCAGCCGCGGUAAUACAGAGGGUGCAAGCGUUAAUCGGAAUUACUGGGCGUAAAGCGCGCGUAGGUGGUUUGUUAAGUUGAAUGUGAAAUCCCCGGGCUCAACCUGGGAACUGCAUCCAAAACUGGCAAGCUAGAGUAUGGUAGAGGGUGGUGGAAUUUCCUGUGUAGCGGUGAAAUGCGUAGAUAUAGGAAGGAACACCAGGGCGAAGGCGACCACCUGGACUGAUACU